rnacentral:rRNA from 1 species
GACGUAGGGCGCGAGCGUUGUCCGGAUUUAUUGGGCGUAAAGAGCUCGUAGGCGGCUUGUCGCGUCGAAUGUGAAAUCUCGGGGCUCAACUCCGAGCUUGCAUUCGAUACGGGCAGGCUAGAGUUCGGUAGGGGAGACUGGAAUUCCUGGUGUAGCGGUGAAAUGCGCAGAUAUCGGGAAGAACACCCGUGGCGAAGGCGGUUCUCUGGGACGGUACUGACGCUGAGACGCGAAAGCGUGGGGAGCGAACAGG